rnacentral:rRNA from 1 species
UACGGAGGGUGCGAGCGUUGUCCGGAAUCAUUGGGCGUAAAGGGCGCGUAGGUGGCUUCUUAAGCGUGCGGUGAAAGCCUGGGGCUCAACCCCGGGUCGGCCGUGCGAACUGGGGGGCUGGAGCACUGUAGAGGCAGGCGGAAUUCCGGGUGUAGCGGUGGAAUGCGUAGAGAUUCGGAAGAACACCGGUGGCAAAGGCGGCCUGCUGGGCAGUUGCUGACACUGAGGCGCGACAGCGUGGGGAGCAAACAGG